CGGAGAUCGACUUUGGCAAAAUGAAGUUCGGUCACUUUUUGAUGCUCGUGUUCACCCUGCUGGCUCUGGUGUUCACGGGAACAGCUGACCCGGAGCCUGGCGGGAAGUUCGGAUUUAAGGGCCAUAGAGGAGGCCACCAUGGAGGGUUCAGGGGUGGCUUCAAGAAACCAUUUAAAUUUAAAGGCUGAUGACUUACCGGGCAUCCAUCGAGACUCCAGGCAACAACGGCAAAGAAUAUAUGAAAUUUCCAUUCUUGGAUUUUCGUCAAAUUAAAAUGAGGUAGAUUAAAUGUGCAAAUUGUA